AUUAUAAAACAUUUAGAGAAUGCCUACAUAUUAAAAUUUAAAUUAAACGGACGUUUUAUUGACGAAGUUUUAUAACGAGUAUUAUAAUAUGCUGAGAGUUAUAAAUAUCCGAAUGGAAAACCAAAAAAUAUUUUAAAUUUUAGAACUUUGUGUCUAAAAUUUUAAAUUUAGUGAAUUGAAUCAUCUAAGUAACUAAAUUAAAAAAUCAACCGAGAAAUUGUAAGUAGUGGCGAACGAAAACAAUGUAGACAAAAUUAAUGUCAAAAAUUUAUAUUAUUAAAUAGAAAUUUUAGCCAUAGAAGGAAAACUAAAAAAUUAGCCCUGUAUGAUAAUAAUGUUUUGACAAAUUAUUUUUUUAGUAAAUCGAAACAAGUCAUGUUUUGAUUGAAUAUCGGGGACCCCCCCUCGAAGUCUGAAAGUUUUAAUAUUUGAUAGUGUAAUAAAAAGUACCGUGAGGGAAAGGUGAAAAGAACUUGCGAGUUUGAAAAGAAUCUAAAACUAAAUGUUGACAAUCAGUUGAAGCUUGUAUUUUGAAAAAGUAACAACGUACCUUUUGCAUAAUGGAUCAACGAGUUUAUUUUAGUGGCGAGCUUAAACUAUAAAAGUGUAGGCUAAAAGAUAGUGAGUUUUAAAAUGCAAUUUAGUCUCUAAAAUAAGACCCGAAACUAAGUGAUCUAACCAUGAACAGGUUGAAUUUAUAGCGGUAACGCUUAUUGGAGGACCGAACUCGUGUAUGUGGAAAAAUACUGAGAUGAUUUGUGGUUAGGGGUGAAAGGCCAAUCAAACUUAGAGAUAGCUGGUUUUCUGCGAAAUCUAUUUAAGUAGAGCGUUUAUAUACUUUAGAUUUAGGUAGAGCACUUAUUAAAUAAAGGGAACGUAAAGUUUUACUGAAUUUAGUAAAACUCCGAAUAAAAUUUAAAAGAAUGUAAGCAGACAGACUAAUGGUGCUAAGAUCUUUAGUCAAAAGGGAAACAGCCCAGAUUAUAAGUUAAGGUCCUAAAGAAUAAUUAAGUGAAAAAAUAAUGAAAAGAUAAUAACAGCCGAUAGGUAGGCUUGGAAGCAGCCAUCCUUUAAAGAAAGCGUAACAGCUCAUUGGUUUAGUUUUUUUGUUUUUAAAAUGUAUAAGGACUUAAAUUAUUCACCGAAACUAUAAAUUAUAAUAUUAUAAUUUUAAUGGUAGCAGAACGUUCUGUAAUUUAAAGAAGAUUUAUGGUAACAUAAAUUGGAAAAAUCAGAAGCGCGAAUGUUGAUAUAAGUAGCGAUAAACAUUGUUUAAACAAUGUCGCCAAAAAUUGAAGGUUUACAAAGAAAGGCUAAUCCUCUUUGUUAGUAAAUCGGUCCCUAAGAUUUAAAAAUACGAAUGUUUUAAUUGAUGGGUAAAAAGUAAUUUCUUUUAUAAAUUUUUCUUAAAAAAGUGACAAAAUAUAAAUUAAAUUUAGAUAAAAUGGUUUUAUGUUUGUUUAAUAAUAUUUUCAAGAAAUAGCUUAUUUAAAUUUUUACCGUACUGUAAACCGACACAGGUCAAUAAAUUGAGUAAAUUAAGGCGCUUAAGUUAAUUAUGUUGAAGGAACUCGGCAAAAUGAUUCCGUAACUUUGGAAGAAGGAAUAACUUUUUUAGGGAAACCUAAAAAAGUUGUCACAAAAUCGAGGACAGCGACUGUUUAAUAAAAACACAGGUCUCUGCGAAUUUGUAAAAAGAAGUAUAGGGACUGACGCCUGCCCAGUGCUGUAAACUUAACGGUAAAAGUUUUGGCUUGAACCAUAAUUCUCAGUAAACGGCGGCUGUAACUCUGACGGUCCUAAGGUAGCGAAAUUCCUUGGCAUUUAAUUGGUGUCCUGCAUGAAUGGCGUAACGACUGUCCUACUGUCUCCAACAUAAUCUUAGUGAAAUUGAAAUCUCCGUGAAGAUGCGGAGUACCUACGGCUAGACGGAAAGACCCCGUGCACCUUUACUAUAGUUAUGUAUUGUAAUAAACAUUUUUAUGUAUAGAAUAUGUGGGAAAUUGUUAAAAUUCUUUUACGCAAGUAAAUAGAUAAUAGUAUUAGUGAAAUACCACUCUUAAAACUUUUUAUUACUAAUUGAAAAAGAAACUGCAUAAUGGGUAGUUUGACUGGGGCGGUCGCCUCCUAAAUAGUAACGGAGGCGUACAAUGGUAAGUUCAAAUUGAAAUAAUCAAUUGUGGAGCGUAAUAGUAUAUUACUUGCCUGACUGUAAGAUUGACAAAUCAAACAGGGACGAAAGUCGGUUAUAGUGAUCCGGUGAUUCUGUGUGGAAAAGAUCACCGCUCAACGGAUAAAAGGUACGCCGGGGAUAACAGGCUAAUCAUCCCUUAGAGACCCUAUCGACGGGGUGGCUUGGCACCUCGAUGUUGGAUUAUCGCAUCCUGGAAUUGAAAAAGAUUCCAAGGGUUUGGCUGUUCGCCAAAAAAAGCGGUACAUGAUCUGAGUUUAGAACGUCGUGAGACAGUUUGGUCCCUAUCUACCGUAGGCGAAAGAAAAUUAAAAGGAGUAAACCCUAGUACGAGAGGACCGGGAAAAGUAAAUCAAUGGUGGAUCGGUUGUUAUACCAAUAGCAUAGCCGAAUAGCUACAUUUAUAAUAGAUAAUUGCUGAAAGCAUCUAAGCAAGAAACUAGCCUUAAGAUCAAUUUUCUUAAAGAUGUAAUAGAUAAUUACUUUGAUAGACUUUAUGUGUAAGAAUUGUAAGAUUUUUAGCUAUAAAGUACUAAUGUCUUUUAUUUAAAAUGGCUUUUG
rnacentral:rRNA from 1 species